GGGAGGGCGGGGCAAGGACCAGUGACGAAGCAGACCUGGCCCCGCCCCUCCGCCGGGAAGGCGGCGGUGGCUGCUCUGAGGGAAACGGCUUUUCCCGCCUUUUCCCAACUUCCCGCCUUUCGAAACCUGACCUUCCCCUCAGUUUUAGGCGCCAAGGAGGCCGAUUCCUGGCAGACCAGGUGGCAAUUUUCCUGGGCUCCCUCGUUUAUCGGGGGAUUUCUUUUCAUUCUGCGUGAUUUCUGUUCAUAUCUCUUGCUUUUGGAGCUUCUAUCUGCUUCUUUAGAAAGGCAUUUUCCUUUAUUAAAAAAGUCCCUUUCACCAAGUUUUGCCUGCAUGCCAUUAAGUAUUUAAAUCCAUUUAUUCAAAUGGAUUUCGAAAUAGUCCUUUAUAGUGCCAUCCCUCCCCCCCACUCCUCCUCCGCUGCUACUGAGGAGAAAUGAAGAGGCUCAUCUGCCUCAGGCGUUGCACUUGUGUCUGUCUGUCUGUCUGUGUGUGAGAGAGAAAACGGGUGCAAGAAGGGCCCAAGGAUCCUGUAGUGGCCCCAGCAGAAGCCAUCCACCAUGGCCUUGAAGCCUUGCAGGUAGUCCUUGUCCCACUUUUGGAUGUGGGGCUCCUCCUCCGGGAACAUGGCCACAAUCUUCCCUCGGUCGUCAGCAAAAUAGAAGAGCUCCUGCCAGUCAAAGAAGUACCUGUACAGGUAGCGAACCCACUGCAUGCUGUUGGGAGAAGUGGCAACCCUGCUUCAUCUGGUAUAGGGUGUGUUGGGGGGGCAGGAGGGGCGUAAAGGGAGGUCAGGUGUGGGAGGGGAGCGGGAACAGGCAGAUACCCUUGCUCCCUCCUGCCAUCGUGGCAGCACCCCAUCUGCCCCCCACUCCAGCUAAGGAUCAAGUCACAUCAUGCAGGGUUGCCACCUGCCCUGUAUAAUACGUUGGAUGGAUCAGAGUCAUUUAUUCCUAGAAACAACAUUGUGUGAAGUUUCCAGAAGAUGGGUUAUUAUAAUGGGUUAUUAUAACAGGUACAAGGAAAAUAGAGAAAAAAGUGAAAUAUUUAGGAGUGUGAUGUUGUUGUUGUUUAGUCAUUUAGUUGUGUCCGACUCUUCGUGACCCCAUGGACCAGAGCACGCCAGGCACUCGUAUCUUCCACUGCCUCCCACAGUUUGGUCAAACUCAUGCUGGUAGCUCAGAAGAACAGUGUCUAAUCACCUCGUCCUCCAUCGUCCCCUUCUCCUUGUGCCCUCCAAUUUUCCCAACAUCAGGGUCUUUUCGGCAAAUAAUCCUAAUAUCAAAAAUGAUAAUGAUGUGAAGAUUUGGAAAGAAAUAGAAAUAGUGAUAAGAAUGAAACUAUCAUGGAUGGUGAGAAUCUUGGCGAUAAAAAUGAAUGUAAUAAUAAAUAAUUUUGAGACCUGGACUUUUAUAUCUCACACUCAUUUGUCCCCCAUGUUGAUUUCCCUUACUUGUCUUUGCUUCCAUUGGGAAAAACCACCUUGGUGUUUUGUUUUCAGGCUCACCCAGAUUCAAUGACGCACUGCCAUAUAUCCUUACAAUGACUGCAAAAUUCCCUCCCUUGUCUCCCCAUUGUUUGGGGGUGUGCAAGAUUUACAGCCUAUCAUGACCACCUAAUUAAAAUAGUAAAUUCUCCACCACUGUUGACAUUUCCCAUUCCCAUGAAUUCAUCGACCUUCUCUCCUACAGUGUAACCUUGGUUUCCAAACUCAUUCCAUUCCGUGAGUCUGUUAGAUUCCUGAAACAGUUCAGGAACCAAGGCGCGGCUUCUGAUUGGUUACAGAAGCUUCCUGCAGCCAAUCAGAAGAUGCGGAAGCCAUGCCGCGCAUUCAUGGCUUCUGAUUGGAAGCUCCUGCAGCCAAGCAGAAGCCAUGGAAGCAGCACCAAGCAUUUUCUUCCAGAAACUGUUCAAAAACCGGAACAAUUACUUCCGGUUUUCAUUCAUUUGGGAGCUGAAGCGUCUCGGCAUACAGGAGCUGAGGUUCCACCGUAUUUGUGAAUUCCCUUUUUGGGUCUUACCUCUUCAACCCUUGACAUACUAGUUUUAGCAAGAAAGCCACAUCCUGGCCACUUUCAAGACAUUAGCUCCCUAGUUCUGUUCUUCUUGCUAACAUCUUAACCACAAUUUGUUCUAAAGAUACAACUUCCCUGUAGGUAGCCUAGCCACAAGCUAUAUUAAAAAUAUGCUAACUGUUGCAACCUACGCCCUAGCUGUUGCAACCUUAUGACCUUUAUGAAAAAGCAAUAAAAGCAUCAUUUAUUCUGGAAAAGCAAUCUGAAAAGCUCCAAUUAUCAUUCCUUACAUGGGAUACCUACAAUGAUCUGCUAAGACAUUUGAGGGAGAAACAAAAAUGUAAAAAUUAAGAAAUUUUUGUAUUGGACUGGCCAAGCUAUCAUCAGAUUUGUUUAAUAAUAAUUUUUAUUAGUUAUCAGUUACACUGUCGCUUAAUCACCCUUUAAAUAGGAGAAGAUAAAUAAUUGUACUCUAUAGAACAAAAAAGCCUGUCCUGUUUGUUUUUAGGUUUCGGUACCAACAAAUCCUGCCUAGUUCUUUUAGCCCUUUCAAAGGCUGUUUGAAUUAACUCCUGCGGAUAGCCUCUAUCUCUUAAUGAAGAGGAAUGACUAUUGGAAGAACGCUAUCUCGCAACUGCUCCUACGUUUAUGGUUUUGUGCUUCCAGUGAAUGACUAUCUGCAGAACGAUUUGUUUGCUCCAGCUGUGUAAUGUAAUACUUACCGCAUACACAACCGAUAUAGUAAAGAGAGACAUUAGUUCAUUCUAUGUUUAUGAGUAUCUCCAGGCUUGGUUAUGCACAUUGCACUUUAGUUUGCUUUUUGUUUAGUAGG
rnacentral:lncRNA from 1 species